AAGUGUUUGUGAGUUAUAUGACGUAUGGGUUACAGUUUCCUUUGGAAAAUUUAUUCGUGACGUCAGAGUGAAGCCAGUACAGUACCGAUUCGAUGCUUCCCGUUGACUUUACCUGCUGCUCGCUUCGGUCUAAUCGUUCAGAAAAGGGACUAAUCAGACUCGGCAUCAGCUUGAGUAUACGGCUGUGUGUUGUGCUGCAGUGUCAACUUGGGACGCGUUAGCUUGUGUGAAUUUUAUAAUUUCUGAUACUGAUGCAAUUUGUCGGAUAAUCGUUAAAGUGGAAGCGUCGCUAAAGUACAGUUGGAGUGUGUAAAAAGUGAAGAAAGCUAAUUCCCGGGAGUUUUGUUGAAAUACUGCAUCCUAAAAACUGAAUCGAAAUCAUGCCCCGGCUGAAGAAAAAGGGUGAACCUUCGCCGUCAGCCGAAUCAGUGCAAACACUGACGGCUGGCCGUUCCAGGCGUACAAUAAAACCCAAUCGUAAAUAUCUUAACGACAGUGUUGUGUUGGCGACCGCUUCCAAAAAUUCAUCCCGUUCGAGCAGUCCGGAUAGUGAUAACAGUGAGGAUGAGUACCAACAGCAACGGGAGGAGUUGGAAGAGACCAUGCCAAAAUCGGCCGCCGGACGAAAGUCAUUGGUUAUGGGGAAAAAAUCAGCCAGCUCCGUUACUGGUCCAAGCAGCGGUACACCGACAAGCAAGGGUAGACCCCGCGGAAGACCACCGAAGCAUGGAGUGGUGAAAAGUUCAUCGAAAACGGAACCGAUCAAAAAUUUGCGAAAAGAAGUUUUGAAGAAAAUGGACUUGACAACGCUGAACAUGAGCAAGGCACGGGUGGUACUGACUCCGAUGAACAAGCAGGAAAUUAAACGAAAGUUGGAUUUAGAUCAGUCGCUGGAAAAGGGUAAACAGCAAAACAAAGCAAAAGAAUUGGAGAAAGAGAGGGCUUCCGUCACCAAGCCAAGCGAUGAAAGGGAAAAAUUGAAAUUGGAUGGUCGUGGUGCUGCCCGAAAGAAACAAGAUAACAGUCCUGUUUUACAGCCAAAAUCCUCGGAACCACCAAGCAAAGUAAUAAAUCCGGUCGCUUUGAAAAAACGACAGGUUGAAAAAUUGAUUCUGGACAAUCGUGGACGUCGACAGGAGCCAGAACAUUCUAGCGACGAGAGUGAUGACGAAGUUCAGAUUGUAGGAAUUGGUCGCGAAACGGCACCUUUCCUGGGUAGAAAAUCAAUUAGAAAGAGUCCUCUUGUAACCAAACCAAUUUUCCCGGCUGGUUUGAAAUCCGGCCGACCGAGCGUCCCGAGUAAAGCAACUCCACCUUCAUCCGGUGGAAGUGGAAUACCACAGAAAAGAAAACUGAAUGAAACUGACGAGGAAAAGCAGAAUGACAAAUCUGUCAAAAUCGUUCAGAAGAAGCGACCCUUGAAGGCAGCCAAACUAUCCAUCACUCUUGAUUCGGAUGACGAUAACGAUGAGGAGGAUACUACGGACGAACCUAUUCGAAGAUCCAUGCGAUCCAGUUUACCCUCGGAAAAGGGUUCGACAAGUUCAACGCCUCAGAAUACAUCGGCAGGCUCUUUGAGAGCUAAGGAAUCACCGGCAUCAGCUGGUGGAAAAGUGAACCGGAGUAUCGAAGGAAUCAAAACGAAUUUGAGCCGAACUUUGAGUAUGCCAGCAUUAGACCGGAACAAAGCUAUCGCUUCGAAAUUAGGACAGGCGAUCGCUGCUAGGACGAUCAACCUUUCGAAACCGGCUGCUCAGUCUACUCCAAAGCUCACAUUCAGUGGAACUCUGGCGGAGAAAAAGAGCAAAUCAGAAAUGAAUCUCGUUGAUCCGAUUCGGUCGGGCGGAAAGGGACUGAAGGACGCUGAUCGGAACAAAGUGAAAAGUGCCACCAUCAGGAUCGUUGAUAUCGGGGAUAUAAUGAAGAAGAAAUCUGCCAGCAGCACGGACAUUCACAAAGGUGACAUCGACGAAAAGAAUGCUUCAUUUAAUGACUAUUCGGAUGACAGCGAAGACUCCGUUGAUUCCGAGGAAAACUCGUCAGAUAAGCCAAAGACCAACGACCAGCUGGUGGCGUCAAUUCUGGAACGCAAGCGGCCAAUGAACUUGGAUCAUUUGCGAGCGAACAAAAUUAUCAAACGUGGACGACCUCCCGGCAGUGCAAAGCAAGCACUGUUGAAUAAAUCUACUCCCAAGGUCAUUCGUAAACCGUACGUCAAUCUAACGGAUGAUGAUGAGAUUGAUUUCGAAGAUAUGCUGCAGACCAACAUUGUCACGGCUAAUACCGUUCAGAAAGGAGCUACUCCUAAUGUUACUACCAAUCGUCGGAGGCAAUCGCAAUCAUCGGUAGAUGAUGAAAAUUCUGCCAAAACAACCGCAUCUCGAACGGUGCCAUCGAGGAAAUCUGUGAGCGCUUCCAACAAUAAUAACAACGUGUACAAAGCAAACAACAACGGUCGGUUCGGUUCUCAGAGUUCGCUCAACCGAUCGGGCUCGAUAAGCCCGCAAAAGAAUCCACCGCGAAUUCUCAACUCCACGAUGAAACUGGGUGACGCUCGACCGUUCGCUAAGCUGGUUUCGAACAGUGGCAACAAGCACUAUUCGAUCGAUUUGACCGAUCCCGAUAACAACGUGAAACUGAUUGCAUCCCACGAUUCGCCGCCGCAUUCACCGGCCAGGCGUUCACCGAAUAAGAUAGUUCCCCGACCGAUCGUAGCCUCGACUGGACUGCGUAACGCCUCCAACGCGCUGAACAAACCAGUCGGAGGUGCCGUGCAACGGUCGAUCUCCUCGCUGACAAGUUCCGCCGGCAGUAGUCCCAAGAUGAAGAAGAUCACCUGCUACGAAACUUGGUACGUCAUCAACAUCCCGAACAACGAGAACAAACCGGAACGACCGUCAUUUGCCAUGUCGAUGAUUGGGCUGGGUAAUGUGGCUGCCCAGGUCCACCUACCUUCGUCCGAGUGGUCCCACAAGAUCAUUCUGACUAAGCGGAAAGUAACCCCAGUGGAGGGCGACGAAGUAUUCAACGGCGAUGUCGAAGACCGCGCCAUCAGCGAAGAUGAAAAGCGAAACUACGAACCCUGCAAUAUCAUGUUCCGACGAAAAACGGCCAUCCCGGGCAAGUUCAAUCUGCAGUACGACAGGGCGGUCAUCUUCAAGAACGAUACCUUCUUCAUCAACGUGGACGGCAAAAACUGCCAGCUCGUUGGGGCACCUUCAAAGCUGAACGGUACCGACGACAUCGAAACGUUGCUUUCGCUGGUGGAUUUUGUCAAUCUGAAGAACACUUGCGUAGAGCUCUCGACGGCUUAAGUCGAACGGUGAUGCUGACGACGUGCACGCUCCUGGUCAUCAACGGCCUCCGUCUCUCCUGUAAAUAGCUUUUCCCAGCAAGCAGAAUAACCCCUCAUCGACAGUACAGAGCCGUACGUAGACAGCGGAUAAACCGAACUGAUUUAUCGUGACUAGUUAUGGUUUGUGCUCGAAAGAGUAUCUAUUGAGAGGAUACUGCAUUCACUGAGCACGAGAAUUUUCAAUCGCACGGACCAUUUCAAAACUGUUACAUUUUGAAAAUAAAUGUAAACCUAUGCUUAUACUUUUUUUUGUAACCAAUGUUAUGUAAAUUUUGAAGUUUCAAAAAUGAUAACAGCCGCUAAAACUUAUUUUGUAAAUACGGUGUGUUUAAGCCCUGACAACUUUUUCUUCACAUUUGAUUAGCACUACACAAAGCUGUUAAUGUUUUUGCAUACUAAAAUCUAGAGUAGUAGAUUGUAAGCUUCAAAGGUUAUAUGCAGCAAAUUACUACAGAUAAAAUUGUAACGUCAAAUAAAAAUUUAUUCAUUUCAAAAUGCAAACAUGUGGUGUGAAAUAAAUAUCGCUAUUGCGUUCAAA